GCUCAAAUCUUUCCCUGCUCCUCUGCCCAACCCCCAGCCAGUGCCCUUCCUGCCCAGAAGAUGCCAGGAAAAUCUGUGCCCGGGAAGGGCGGUCUGGCACCUGAGGGCCCCGCCUGACCAGCCCUUCUCAGCAGCAGGAGCUGGGUGGGAGUCACCUUAUGCCAGAGACGCCCCAGCAGUGCCAUCCACCUCCUGGGCUGAGGAGUACCCCCAAGAGGCUCUGCCCGGGGUGUGGGGCCUGGCACCCAGUCCUGCCUGGCAGAGCCUGGAGAGAAGUAAGCCGUGGUUGGGUGGAGUAGUUGCCGAGGCCCAGCGCGUUCUCAGCCCGGCUCUUUGUCUGCCGCUUUGUGAUGCUGCACCCAGAACCAGGAGUGGGGCGCAGGCCCAUCCUCUGGCCAGGAUCCUGGGCUCCCUUGGCCACAAAGCAGGACAGGGGACCAGAGAUCCCCCAACUCAGGAGACGUGAAGCUGGCAGCUGGUAAGAGCAUCCAAGCAUCCUCUCUGCUUUGGGUCCCCAUUUCAAGCCUGUUUGGCUGCCAGGCCAUGAGGACUCCCAAACCGGGGGCCCUACCUGGGCCCUGGGGCACCCCCAGGCUCCCCCUACCCAUUGGCAAGGAAGCAGCACCUGGGACCUCAAAUGAGGUGGGGCAGGGUAUGCAGAGGGUUAAUGGGGGUGUGGCCAGAGUCCACUGAACCAGAGCAGCCUACCUGGGUUCCUGACCCCCAACUCCCAGUGGCCUGAUACCCCUAGUUUCUGUUUG
rnacentral:lncRNA from 1 species